GGGAGAGGGAGAGACACGGAGCUGAAUUCUCCGGCAGCGGCUGCGAUCGGCUUCAGAGAGCGGCGCUCAGAGCCGGUACUCAUGGAGUUCCUGACUCAAUAGACUUGCCAAUUGCUGGUUGGGACGAUGGUUGGUCAGCCGGAAAGACACAGUCAGGGAGGUCGGAGUCAUCAAUCAAUCCUGCUGCCAGAAUUCCCAAUUCCUGUCUCGUCCAUCACCACAUUGAAGACGGUUGGUCAGCCAGA